CUUGGUCAUUUAGAGGAAGUAAAAGUCGUAACAAGGUUUCCGUAGGUGAACCUGCGGAAGGAUCAUUACAGUGUUCCCUGCCCUCACGGGUAGAAACGCCCACCCUUGUGUAAUAUAUCUUGUUGCUUUGGCAGGCCGCCCUCGGGCACCGGCUUCGGCUGGGUCGCGCCUGCCAGAGGACCCCAAACUCUGAAUGUUAGUGUCGUCUGAGUACUAUAUAAUAGUUAAAACUUUCAACAACGGAUCUCUUGGUCCUGGCAUCGAUGAAGAACGCAGCGAAAUGCGAUAAGUAAUGUGAAUUGCAGAAUUCAGUGAAUCAUCGAAUCUUUGAACGCACAUUGCGCCCCGUGGUAUUCCGCGGGGCAUGCCUGUUCGAGCGUCAUUUAAACCAAUCCAGCUUGCUGGGUCUUGGGCUCUCGCCUCCGGGCGGGCCUUAAAAUCAGUGGCGGUGCCACCCGGCUCUAAGCGUAGUAAUACUCCUCGCUACAGAGCUCCGGGUGGAGGCUGGCCAAACAACCCCCCAUUUUAUCAGGUUGACCUCGGAUCAGGUAGGGAUACCCGCUGAACUUAGGCAUAUCAAUAAGCGGAGGA
rnacentral:rRNA from 1 species